rnacentral:rRNA from 1 species
UACGGAGGGUGCAAGCGUUGUCCGGAUUCACUGGGCUUAAAGGGUGCGUAGGCGGCUUGAUAAGUCAGUGGUGAAAUCCCCGAGCUUAACUUGGGAACUGCCAUUGAUACUAUUGAUCUUGAAUACCGUGGAGGUCAGCGGAAUAUGUCAUGUAGCGGUGAAAUGCUUAGAUAUGACAUAGAACACCAAUUGCGAAGGCAGCUGGCUACGCGAAUACUGACACUGAGGCACGAAAGCGUGGGGAUCAAACAGG